GCGCUCGCGCUCCAAAGCGCUCUUUGCAAUAACACGGAAUCACGUGUGGGGAAUGCGACCUGGGAGGAAAACAAAGCCGCAGGCGGCGGCCGCAGAGGCAGGCGGCGGGAGGCGAGGGGCCGCGGGAGGAGGAAGAGGAGGACGGAAGAGCCGAGCGGAUGGUGGGGCGGGGGAUCGGCCCGGCUGUCCGGGUUGUCCGAGCUGCUUGCUGGGGGAGUUGGCGACUCCCGGGGCGCGCGGAAGCCAGGCCAAGAUGCAGCCCUCGGGAUAAAUGCACGCCUUGGGAUGCGUAAGAGCCCAGAAGCACGAACAUCUUCCAUGUGACCAACGAAUUCACGCAUCCCCAAUCCAUGGCCUUUUGAAAACCUGGAGCCUGGAGUCUAUUUACAGCAGCCUCAUAUCAGUGAAGUCAAAGCUCAAUGGCCAGCUCUGUGAAAUUUCACCAGGAUUUUAAUUAUUUUGGCUAACUACCUUGAAACUUCCAAGCCCUUUUAUGACAAUCGAGUUAAUUUACAUGACCACUGGCCUGGUUGGAAGGCAGUGUUAAGUGAAAGACUCCAACAGUGUUCCUGUAAAAUAUAUUUUCCUUCAUUCAAAAGUGAUAAACGUUAAUUUCAGAGAACAUAAGAUAAGCAAAGAGGAGAAAAAAAAAAGGAGGGGUAUCACUAACAAUCUCUUCUGUGGAAAUGACGUUAAACUUAAUUUUUGAUAUCUGUUUUGUAUUUUCAUGUAUUUUAAAGAGACAUAUGUAUAUAUAUUCUUUUAGCUUGUCACCCAGGCUGGAGUG